GUGACACAGUCAGUUGAGCUUCCGAGCACAUCAGAGCCGGGUAAAGGGAGCUGAGAAUGGAGGGGCUGUGUUGGACUUUGCUGCUGAUGGCCUUGCAGAUGGAUGGAGUCCUUUCCAACUCCAACCUGAUCAUUUUGCAGGCAGUACAGGAUGCCCGGGAGGGUGAGACAGUGAGACUGGGCUGUAGAAACAACCAGCAGCAGGAUGACCGCUUGCUAACCUGGGGCUAUGUGCCAGCGGGCAACUCCACCAUCAAAUGGAUCAUGUCCCUGAGCCCGGGAUCGAAUAACUUCACCCGGCUGGCAGCGUUUGAGCCCCGUUUCUCCGGCGCCAAUGACAGUGAAUUCAGUUUAACCGUCGAGCAGGUGAAACGGGGGGACUCCAUGAGGUUUUACUGUCAAAGUGCGGACGUUGUGGUGAACGCGAAAGACUGGUGUGGCUGUGCAGUGACCCUCAACGUGAAACCAGCCAUCUCACCGAGACCACCUUCCGUUCUACUCCUUCAGCCAUCACCUGAGGAAAUUUCCCUGCAGGAUGACUGCAAACUGGUCUGUGUGGUGAGUGAUUUCUACCCAGAUACUGUCUCUGUGUCUUGGUACAUUGGCAGCACCCAGCUCUCCUCAGGGAUUUCCAACUCCGGGAUACUGAUGGAAUCAGAAGACAGUUACACCAUCAUCAGUGAGCUGACGGUGCCAACACUUCAGUGGCUACGUGGUCUUCAAUAUACCUGCCUUGUUUCACACAAAACCCUGUCUUCCCCCAUCAGAAAAGUGAUCAAUAAAGAUGGCCUGAUUCCGCCAUCCAUCUACGUGUUCCCUCCAACUUUUGAAGAGAUUGAUGUGAGGAAAACUGCAACAGUUGUGUGUCUGGCUGUUGGAUUUUAUCCAAAAAACAUUUUGUUUAGUUGGCUGGUUAAUAACCGGAAAACUGCUUUUAGUUCGAAAACUCUUCCACCAAUUUUAAAUGCAAAUGGGAGUUAUACUUCCAGAAGUGAGUUAACAGUCACUGUGGAUGAGUGGGAAUCUGGAUCUUUGUACACUUGUCAAAUUCAACAUGUUUCAUUGUCAUCUCCUAUGAGGCACAGUUUGAGGAAAAGAAAUGAUGGUUUCAUUCAAAAGCCUGUGAUCCACCUGAUCGCUCCUCUGUCUGAUGCUGCCGCUGCAGGGCAGAACGUUACUAUGACUUGCUUGGUGUCAGACUUUUACCCUGCCGAUAUUUCUGUGACUUGGAGAGAUGAGAAUGGCCCAGUGGAUACGGGAGUGACCCAGUUUGCAGUAGCUUUGGGCAGUACCAGUACUUACCGAACAGUGACCCAAUUGACCGUGCCGACAACAGAGUGGGAGAAUAAACGUACUUACUGGUGUGAAGUGAAACAUGUGUCCCUGGGACAGGCACUGCAGAGAGCUGUCACUAAGGAUCUGGGGAUAUCCAGUGGAUCCCCAAGGAUAAUGGUUCCUCUGUGCAUUGUGGUUGCUGUCAGUGGUUUGCUUUUAAUUAUCGCUGCUGUUACAAUCAUCCACAAGAAAGCCACUUCUUCCUCCGGCACUGAGACUGCAAAUUUCAGUGAGAUGCUGAGCCUGAACACCAGACAGGAAUCCUUCUACGAAAACAUCUAUUACAAGUGAAGAGAAAAUCUUCAUCGGGGCUGCAGAACAUUACCUUCAAUGAAAACCUCAACCUGAGAACUGAUCAGGAGUAAAAGAUGACGUAGAGUCUUGUUGGAGAUGGCCAGAUCCUGGCAUCUAUUAAGCAAAGUGCAGAAUUUGUGUUUAAAGGAUAAUACAUAUUCCCACUGCUUGCUCAGUUUUCAAUGCAGUCUUCACAAGGAAUAAAGAAUGUUGAUCUAGAAUUAAUUUUAUCAUUUCAAUAUAUGUUUGCCAAGGGAGUUCUUAAGUAUACAGGACUAAUGUUAGUUGUUGAGCUUCAGCCAGUUGUCAGUUCACAUGAGUUGACAGUUUUGGAAAUGGAUGAUGCAGUGAACAUUGGCUAUUUAUAAUUUCCAAGCCCCUAGUUUGACGUGAGUUUUUCUAUUGGGAGUUGGGAUUUGGUAUUUAUCCCAAUGAUACAGAAUAAAGCCUUUCCUGUUUCAAUGGGAAACAUUA